CCCAGUCCGUGUUUUCAUGGCAGACACACGACUUUGACCUGCCCAGUCAAGGAGUUCAGAAUGCUGCUCCUCUGCCACAUUCUAGCCGUGACCAUCCUUCAGAUCUUGGUCAUCUCAGAAAACUGGGUGUUUGCUAAGAACAUCAACUUCUACAAUGUGAGGCCCCCUCUCGACCCCACGCCAUUCCCAAACAGUUUCAAGUGUUUUACUUGUGAAAAUGCAGGGGAUAAUUAUAACUGCAAUCGAUGGGCAGAAGACAAGUGGUGUCCGCAGGAAACACAGUAUUGUUUGACAGUUCAUCACUUCACCAGCCACGGAAGAAGUACGUCCAUCACUAAAAAGUGUGCCUCUAAAAAUGAAUGUCAUUUUGUUGGCUGCCGACAUAGCCGAGAUUCGGAACACACGGAGUGUAGGUCUUGCUGUGAAGGAAUGAUCUGCAAUGUAGAGUUGCCCACCAACCAUACAAAUGCAGUCUUUGCGGUGAUGCACGCGCAGAGGACAUCUGGCAGCAGUGUCUCCAAUGUCCCCAGAUCCUAUCUCCCAGUGCUGGCCUGGCUCUUCAUGCUUCCCUUGCUGUG
rnacentral:lncRNA from 1 species